rnacentral:tRNA from 1 species
UCCAGUGUGGCUCAGUUGGUAGUGCAUGGCGCUUACACCGCCAGGGUUUUGGGUUCAAUUCCUACGGAGGAC